rnacentral:rRNA from 1 species
AGAGUUUGAUCCUGGCUCAGAAUGAACGCUGGCGGCGUGCUUAACACAUGCAAGUCGUACGAGAACACCCUAGCUUGCUAGGGUAAGUAAAGUGGCGCACGGGUGAGUAACGCGUGGGUAAUCUACCUUCGAAUUGGGGAUAACGUUGCGAAAGCGACGCUAAUACCGAAUAACAUCCAUUAAUCUUCGGGUUUUUGGAUCAAGGGUGGCCUCUACAUGUAAGCUACUGUUUGAAGAUGAGCCCGCGUACCAUUAGCUUGUUGGUGGGGUAAUGGCCUACCAAGGCAGCGAUGGUUAGCUGGUCUGAGAGGAUGAUCAGCCACACUGGAACUGACACACGGUCCAGACUCCUACGGGAGGCAGCAGUGAGGAAUUUUGCGCAAUGGGGGAAACCCUGACGCAGCAACGCCGCGUGAGUGAUGAAGGCUUUCGGGUCGUAAAGCUCUGUCAAGUGGGAAGAACCUGCAGUAUGCUAAUAUCAUAUUGCACUGACGGUACCACUGAAGGAAGCACCGGCUAACUCCGUGCCAGCAGCCGCGGUAAUACGGGAGGUGCAAGCGUUAUUCGGAAUCAUUGGGCGUAAAGAGCACGUAGGCGGCCUGGUAAGUCAGAUGUGUAAGCCCGGGGCUUAACCCCGGAAGUGCAUUUGAUACUGUCAGGCUUGAGUAUGGGAGAGGGAAGUGGAAUUCCUGGUGUAGAGGUGAAAUUCGUAGAUAUCAGGAGGAACACCGGUGGCGAAGGCGACUUCCUGGACCAUAUUGACGCUGAGGCUCGAAAGUGUGGGGAGCGAACAGGAUUAGAUACCCUGGUAGUCCACACUGUAAUCGAUGAAUACUAGGUGUUGGACCCGUUAACGGUUCAGCACCGCAAGCUAACGCGCUAAGUAUUCCGCCUGGGGAGUACGCUCGCAAGAGUGAAACUCAAAGGAAUUGGCGGGGGCCCGCACAAGCGGUGGAGGAUGUGGUUUAAUUCGAAGCAACGCGAAGAACCUUACCAGGACUUGACAUGGAAGUGACCGUACGAGAGAUCGUAUUUUAUGCCUUCGGGUAUACACUUCACACAGGUGCUGCAUGGCUGUCGUCAGCUCGUGUCGUGAGAUGUUGGGUUAAGUCCCGCAACGAGCGCAACCCUCGUCUUUAGUUGCCAUCCUGUCUUCGGGCAGAGGCCCUCUAGAGAGACUGUCGGUAAUAAACCGGAGGAAGGUGGGGACGACGUCAAGUCAUCAUGGCCCUUACGUCCUGGGCUACACACGUCCUACAAUGGUCGGUACAGCGAGUAGCGAGAUCGCGAGGUCAAGCCAAUCUCUUAAAACCGGCCUCAGUUCGGAUUGCAGUCUGCAACUCGACUGCAUGAAGGUGGAAUCGCUAGUAAUCGCGGAUCAGCACGCCGCGGUGAAUACGUUCCCGGGCCUUGUACACACCGCCCGUCAAGCCAUGGAAGAAGGGAGCGCUCGAAGUCGUGAUGGUAACCUGCAAAGGAGCCUAGCGCCGAAAGUGAGAUCUUUGACUGGGGCUAAGUCGUAACAAGGUA